UUCCCUAUGUUCCUGGAAUUCUCUCCUUUCUCAUUUUAAACAUCUGAAACCCCAAGUUUACUUCAAGGCUUAGCUCCAGUUCCACCAGAAGCCCAAAACAGGAAAGGAAGUGAAAAGGGAACGAUGGAUGUCUCUUUACUCUAUCUUCUACUCACUGCAGUCCCUCGGCAGACAAUAAUCCAGAUGAACUAUUUUCCUCACUGCUUACCAUCUUUUUCAUUGCUAAUUUAUUCCCCUUGACAUAGGAAUGAAAAUGUGGUAGCCACAAAA